UGAGCUAUAGCUUAAUUUAUAAGCAUUCCGUUUACAUUGGAAAGAUCACUUAACUGUAGUGUGGUUCA
rnacentral:tRNA from 1 species